rnacentral:rRNA from 1 species
GACGAACGCUGGCGGCGUGCCUAAUACAUGCAAGUAGAACGCUGAAGAGAGGAGCUUGCUCUUCUUGGAUGAGUUGCGAACGGGUGAGUAACGCGUAGGUAACCUGCCUGGUAGCGGGGGAUAACUAUUGGAAACGAUAGCUAAUACCGCAUAAAAUUGAUUAUUGCAUGAUACUUAAUUGAAAGAUGCAACUGCAUCACUACCAGAUGGACCUGCGUUGUAUUAGCUAGUUGGUGAGGUAACGGCUCACCAAGGCGACGAUACAUAGCCGACCUGAGAGGGUGAUCGGCCACACUGGGACUGAGACACGGCCCAGACUCCUACGGGAGGCAGCAGUAGGGAAUCUUCGGCAAUGGGGGGAACACUGACCGAGCAACGCCGCGUGAGUGAAGAAGGUUUUCGGAUCGUAAAGCUCUGUUGUAAGAGAAGAACGGGUGUGAGAGUGGAAAGUUCACACUGUGACGGUAUCUUACCAGAAAGGGACGGCUAACUACGUG